rnacentral:rRNA from 1 species
AUUGAACGCUGGCGGCAUGCUUUACACAUGCAAGUCGAACGGCAGCGCGGGCUUCGGCCUGGCGGCGAGUGGCGAACGGGUGAGUAAUGCAUCGGAACGUGCCCAGUAGUGGGGGAUAGCCCGGCGAAAGCCGGAUUAAUACCGCAUACGACCUGAGGGUGAAAGCGGGGGACCGAAAGGCCUCGCGCUAUUGGAGCGGCCGAUGUCGGAUUAGCUAGUUGGUGGGGUAAAGGCUUACCAAGGCGACGAUCCGUAGCUGGUCUGAGAGGACGACCAGCCAAACUGGGACUGAGACACGGCCCAGACUCCUACGGGAGGCAGCAGUGGGGAAUUUUGGACAAUGGGGGCAACCCUGAUCCAGCCAUGCCGCGGGCGGGAAGAAGGCCUUCGGGUUGUAAACCGCUUUUGUUCGGGAAGAAAUCCUCUGGGCUAAUACCCCGGGGGGAUGACGGUACCGGAAGAAUAAGCACCGGCUAACUACGUG